CAUUGCACUACCAAAGUCAAUAAUGCGCAUUUUGGUGGUGUAGUUCUUGUCUCUACUGGGAGCUCCUUUCAAGCAUCUUCCAGUCUCCUGGUCUUCAAAGCAUAUCACCAUGUUCUCUGGUUUGAUAUCCCUGUGGGUGAUGUUGCGGUCAUGGCAAGCCUUGACUGCCAUCAACAACUGCCAUAUAAGGUUGCGCAUUUCCUC
rnacentral:misc_RNA from 1 species